UACGUAGGGGGCAAGCGUUGUCCGGAAUCACUGGGCGUAAAGCGCACGUAGGCGGCUUCUUAAGUCAGGGGUGAAAUCCUGGAGCUCAACUCCAGAACUGCCUUUGAUACUGGCGACCUUUGAGUCCGGGAGAGGUGAGUGGAACUCCGAGUGUAGAGGUGAAAUUCGUAGAUAUUCGGAAGAACACCAGUGGCGAAGGCGGCUCACGUGCCCGGUACUGACGCUGAGGUGCGAAAAGCGUGGGGAGCAAACAGGAUUAGAAACCCCCGGUAA
rnacentral:rRNA from 1 species